UACAGAGGUCUCAAGCGUUGUUCGGAUUCAUUGGGCGUAAAGGGUGCGUAGGUGGCGCGCUAAGUCAGGUGUGAAAUUUCGGAGCUUAACUCCGAAACUGCAUUUGAUACUGGCGUGCUUGAGGACUGGAGAGGAGACUGGAAUUCAUGGUGUAGCAGUGAAAUGCGUAGAUAUCAGGAGGAACACCGAUGGCGAAGGCAGGUCUCUGGGCUGACACUGACGCUCAUGCACGAAAGCGUGGGGAGCAAACAGG
rnacentral:rRNA from 1 species